UUCUCUCAUCGCUUGUUCCUGAGCUUCCUGUUCCUGCCAACCAUAAGAUGGCCGCGGCCUUAAUGACAUGCCAAGAGACAUAAACAUGCUAGCAGGCAGCUCCAGAGUCUCUACAGCCGGAUAUAAUAAUGGCAGAGACGGACACAAGUCUGGAGCAGAGCGGCGGAGAGGAGGAGCUGUUACGGGGGCAGGACGGAGAUCCUGGGAUAAGUCUUCCGCGGAGACGCACACAUAAUUCUGUGCUUACAAAGCGCUUGGACUCUGCCUGGACAGCUGAUCUGUGCCUGCAGCUCAUACAUAAGGCCAUGGAGCGUCGCCAGUGGAGUAGGGCUGCCACGCUAUUCUCCAGCUUCGUCCAGAACCUCGAUAAUCGGAGCAACAAAAAAUACAUUAAGGCCGCAGAGGCCAUUUGGCGGCUCGGGAGCGAGAUCCUGUUAAAUCACCCGGGCGGCACAUCUGACGAGAUCCAUUUAUUCCAUGAAACCAUGAAGAAUAUUGGCGUGAAGAACUAUCUCCAGAUCAUCCUGGAGCAGGUGUAUUUCCUGCUGUGUAACGGUCGGACCGACGAAGCCUACAGAAUCCUCUCCGCUGCCGAGAGCUGGAGGUUCGGACGCCUCUCCAUCUCCCAGGACAAGCUUCUGAAGCUGAUCCAAGCCUACCGGGCAGUACUGGACCACCGGGCCUGGCAGAAGAAGAUCUCUGCGGUCACUCAGGAUGCUAUGGACUACGCGUCCCAGUCAUCCCACACCCAGGACGCGUGCAGCUCCUUCAGACAAGCCAGCAGCACCUUCAGAGAGAUCACGCAGUUCCCCGGAGUGUGGGACCCAUUCAUCCUCUGCUACGUGGAUCUUCUCGAGACCUCCGGAGAUCUGCAGGAGGCUGAGACUGUGUUAAUGAAUUAUGCUUACAACAGUAAGAACCCGGCCAACCCGAAUGCCCAUGUGUACCUGUAUGAGUUCCUGCAGAGGACCAAGGCUUCAGAUGACAAAGUCAUAAAGGUUCUGAAAAUUUUGCAAUUAAUGGUUCCGUCACACAAGCACAUGCUGAAAUUCAGUAAACUCCUGGUAAAUUCUGGUGUGGAAGAACAUCACCAUCUCGCCCUGCAAGUUCUGCUGGAGCUCUUGGACUAUCCUGUUUGGAAGGAGGACGUGAAAGCCUGGCGAUAUCUAGCAAAGCAACUGAAAAGAUGUCUGUGCCGUGAACGUAAAGCCUGGGUGUCCGAGCUGUGGGAGUCCAGAAGUAGCUGGUGGCCUUUAUACCACUUCACAAAGCUGCAGGCGAAUAAGGAUUACUGGAAGUGUCCGGAACUGGCGGUGAGGAAGGCUGCAGCUGCCGGAAUGUUACAGGGACCAGGCAGCAGAUAUUUCUCUAGGGUCUGCAGACUGGGGACAGAGGAACAGAAGGCCACCUUAUCUCUCCUGAAGACCCUUCUCAAGCAACAUAACUGCGGAAACCAGUAGGCCGCACCUGUGCUGAGCUCCUUCAGUAGGGUGCGGAGGGACCUCACUAUGUGGGGUUUAUAUCUUGUUUUGGAAUAGGGACUGUAUGUGCUGUGAAACCUGCGAGUAUUGAAGCAGCCAGAGAGAAAUGGACUCGUCCAUUCGCUAUCCCGUCGUAAGAGGCGCUGCCCACGUUGCACGAAUGUUCUGGGUCCCUCACAGCGGUGACAACUCCAAGAGCGUAGCUACGGCCCUGUCGGACGUGACUGUGCCUGAUCACUGCUUGGAUGCGGUGUAUGAUGUUUUGGAAAUGCUAUGUACAGUUAAAGACAGGAAAAACUGGGAAGAUCCGGCUGUUGACGUCUGUCUCACGCUUGUCUGAAGAGGUGGUGUUACUGGUCCCUGGCUCCUCGGCUACCCUGGGGAUAGAACACUAGAAGACUACACUGAAGGGUCAUUCUAUGAAAAU